GGCGUAAAGCGAGCGUAGGUGGCUUGAUAAGUCAGAUGUGAAAGCCCCGGGCUUAACCUGGGAACGGCAUCUGAUACUGUUAGGCUAGAGUAGGUGAGAGGAAGGUAGAAUUCCAGGUGUAGCGGUGAAAUGCGUAGAGAUCUGGAGGAAUACCGAUGGCGAAGGCAGCCUUCUGGCAUCAUACUGACACUGAGGUUCGAAAGCGUGGGUAGCAAACAGGAUUAGAUACCCUGGUAGUCCACGCCGUAAACGAUGUCUACUAGUCGUUGGGUCCCUUGAGGACUUAGUGACGCAGCUAACGCAAUAAGUAGACCGCCUGGGGAGUACGGCCGCAAGGUUAAAACUCAAAUGAAUUGACGGGGGCCCGCACAAGCGGUGGAGCAUGUGGUUUAAUUCGAUGCAACGCGAAGAACCUUACCUGGUCUUGACAUAUCUAGAAUCCUGCAGAGAUGCGGGAGUGCCUUCGGGAAUUAGAAUACAGGUGCUGCAUGGCUGUCGUCAGCUCGUGUCGUGAGAUGUUGGGUUAAGUCCCGCAACGAGCGCAACCCUUGUCCUUAGUUACCAGCGGUUUGGCCGGGAACUCUAAGGAUACUGCCAGUGACAAACUGGAGGAAGGCGGGGACGACGUCAAGUCAUCAUGGCCCUUACGACCAGGGCUACACACGUGCUACAAUGGUAGGUACAGAGGGCAGCUACACAGCGAUGUGAUGCGAAUCUCAAAAAGCCUAUCGUAGUCCAGAUUGGAGUCUGCAACUCGACUCCAUGAAGUAGGAAUCGCUAGUAAUCGCGGAUCAGAAUGCCGCGGUGAAUACGUUCCCGGGCCUUGUACACACCGCCCGUCACACCAUGGGAGUUGAUUGCACCAGAAGUGGUUAGCCUAACCUUUUAGGAAGGCGAUCACCACGGUGUGGUUGAUGACUGGGGUGAAGU
rnacentral:rRNA from 1 species